CAUUUUAAUUUUCUUUUUUUAUCCUCACGGAUUAUUUCGGCCCAGGGUGUUGGCCUCAAAACGAGCUUUCCGAAAUGUACUCACGGGCCCCGCGAGUCCAUCGGGAACGAAAGUUAGGCACGCGAACGUAUAGACGCGCGGAUUAUGUUUACCCAAGCAAAUUUCAAAAUUUUUUUUUUUGUAUUUCGUCGUAUGUAAGUAGUAUUCGGUUAAUUUAAUCGGGCUCGUGAAAUUGCGUUAAUCGAGUCGCUUAGAAGCCGGAAGUUGAACAAUCUAGACUUCUCUCGAGAAGAGAAAUUGAGUCGCUUCAAGUAAAUUUGCAAUGCAUAAGAUGAC
rnacentral:misc_RNA from 1 species